rnacentral:rRNA from 1 species
UGCACCUCCGACCCGUCAUGUUUGUGUCCAUGCUUACUGAGGUCGUCAUUUUCAUAGCAAUGAACAUAAUUCCUUUUUUAAGUCUAUUUUGUGAAAAUGAGACAUAUAUUUCAAACAAAAAUUAUAUAUAAUCAUGUGAAAUAUGUAUAUUUUUUUGGCAGACUGCUGGAUGCAAGGACGCACCCGUUUUGUGCGAAGAGGAUUCACUUGUCUUCUAGAUCAGCUCCUGUAUUUCUUGAGAGGAGUGAGCCGCUUCCAGACCUACCUAGGCUCGUACGGGCAUUCGCUUGUUGGGCCUGUUUGACACUUCUCUCGCCGGCACGCACAGUAGCCACACUUAUAGAAAUAAUAAAGAUGUGUUUCUCAAGAAAAAAAAGAAGCAUUAGUUAUCAGAAAAAAUCCAGUCCUCUCACCGCACAACAUCCACUCUGCCCACCUCACAGCCUCGCACAUGUCGCUUCUCCCUGCCGCCUCCUCUCCUCACCACGGCUCGCCCUCGGCAUCCUCUCCCCACCACGGCUCGCCCCGCAGCCUCCACCUCCGAUACGACCUCGCGCUGCCACCAACGCUUCCGGUCUCCCCUGUAUCGACACUGCCGCCGGUGUCCAACCUCAGCGACGACGCCAGCCUGCCCGACGCAGCUCCUGGCCGCGGCGGCCUAGAACACCGAGGUAUAGAAGCCUGCUCCGGCUGCCAAGCUGCCGCCCAACCUGCUCUGGUAAGUCUUGGGCUUAGGUCUCACUUCCAUAUAGCAGAACGAUUUAUCUGAAGUACUAAGUUUAUAUGAAGAAAAGAAAGCUAGGUUUUGUUUGUUCAGUCCUCAUGUGCUUUGUAGUCAAGCUUUUCAUUCUAGAAGCCUGCUAAUCUGCUAUAUUGUUAUGAUGGAAUUCUGUAUCUGAUUUGGAUGAAACAAAACUCAAGAGUACUUAUUACAAGCUAAAUACUGAGUGAAUUGCAUUUUAACUGAAGCAUUUUUCAUACAUUACUCAAUGUUUGUCAAUUGGGAUGUACUCAAUGUUUGUCCCUUCUCCACUGGACACCAACAUGGGGUUCCAUAUGAUACAAGACUCAAAGGUCUAGAUGAUGACAGAGGAACCAAAGGUCUAACACAGGAUGCUUCAAAGUCUCAUUUUAAAAGGUCAACAGGUUGAUGUUCUUUUUCAUAUCUCAUCUUGUCGGUCUGAUAUUUGAAAUAUCACAGAAUUAUUGUUCAGAUGCACCUGUUAUCUAAAUUAGUUCCUGCUGACACAUUCAGGAAGUACAAGUUUCACAAUAAAUCUAAUUCCACACAUACAGCCAAUCUGUAGAUUAAUUUGGCACUGACGUUCGAUUAAGUUGAUUCCAGUGUAACAAUGAAAAACUUCUGGAGAACUCAUACCUUACGGCUAUUAUAAAUUUAGGUCAUUACUUCAGAAUGAUAUAAUGAGAGAGAGGUCUAAAUUUAGGUUAUUACUACUUCAUCAGGACCAUAUACCAUUUAACAGUAUUACUACUUUUUAGAAGAUAAUUUGUCGUGCUUCUAGUGAACUGGCAACCCCAGCUAAAAUUUGAGGUCUGUUAAUUUAAGACAUA